AGGGAGUGUGCCAGGCCAACGGUGGUGUCGCUUUAAUUAGCCCAUCCAGGGCUUGAUGGAGAGUAGGACGAAAAUAGUAAAUACAUUAAAUGUUAGAGAGCUCUCCUUGGGGUGAGACGGAAAGUCAAACAUUAACCUUCAUGAAGAAAGAUAUUUGGCGCUUCUGCCAGAGGAGUCUGAUGAGUCCUGGUCUAGGUUUUGUUGCUUUCAUUUGGGUCUUCAUGAUGACGUGUGUGGACGUUCCCGCUGAAACCCAACUUGACGUAUUGUCGUACAAAAGCCUGUCCAAGAAGCUCCUGCCUGUCUAAUCUCUCUCUGACUGUCAUCUCCAGUUUGUUGACACAGGCUGGUUGCCUUCCAGUUAGGUAGGUAGCCGGGUGCCUCAAUUCUUAGUCUCUUACACUCUCCUCUCAAGAUGGUCAGCUUCACACGCUCCGGUUCCUGCUUAAGCUCUGUUAUAAUUGAAUAUUUAUUUCCUGUCUACCAAGUCAUAUGUACACAUUUCUUUCUUACCCUAGGAACUUUGAAACACAGAAAGUUAAGUGUCUGAGAUUUUUCACUUUUUAAAAAAACAUUAUUUUAUUGAGGUCAUAUUGGCUUUUAACGUUGUGUAAAUUUCAGGUGUACAUUAUUAUAUUUCAGUUUUUGUAUAGAUUGCAUUGUGUUCCACACUGAUAAUCUAGUGUUUAUCUGUCACCAUACAUAUGUGCCCCUUUACCUCUUUUGUCCUCCCCCCUUCCCCUCUGGUAACCACUAAUCUGUUCUCCUUAUCUACAUGUUUGUUUAUCUUCCACACAUGAGUGAAGUCAUACAGUAUUUGUCUUUCUCUGUCUGACUUAUUUCGCUUAGCAUAAUACCCUCAAGGUCCAUGCAUGUUGUCACAAAUGGUAUGAUUUUGUCCUUUUUUAUGGCUGAGUAGUAUUCUAUUGUAUGUAUAUAUACCACAUCUUCUUUAUCCAUUCAUCCGUUACUGGGCACUAGGGUUGCUUCCACAUCUUGACUAUGGUGAAUAAUGCUGCAGUGAACAUAGGGGUACAUAAGUC
rnacentral:lncRNA from 1 species